GAGGCCGUAGCAUCCGAGGAUUUAUGGAUUUGGCAUUGCUUUUUUGGUAUGCCCGGCACACUCAAUGAUAUCAAUGUGUUGCAACGCUCUCAUUUGUUUGCUAGGCUUGCUAGUGGUGAUGCUCCUGCUUGCAACUACACUAUCAAUGGGCAUGAAUACACAAAGGGGUACUAUCUUGCAGAUGGUAUAUAUCCUCCUUGGUGCACAUUUGUCAAGAGCAUCAAAGAACCCAAAACAAAAAAACAAUGUGAAUUUGCAAGGGUGCAAGAGGCAGCCCGAAAAGACAUUGAAAGAGCAUUCGGUGUUUUGCAAUCUAGGUUUGCCAUUGUCCGA
rnacentral:rRNA from 1 species